rnacentral:rRNA from 1 species
GACGCACGCUGGCGGCGUGCUUAACACAUGCAAGUCGAACGAAGUGGCGAACGGGUGAGUAACGCGUAAUCAACCUGCCCUUCAGAGGGGGACAACCGUUGGAAACGACUGCUAAUACCUCAUACUGAAGGAGGGGAUUGCGUCGGAUUAGCUAGUUGGAGGGGUAACGGCCCACCAUGGCGAUGAUCAGUAGUCGGUCUGAGAGGAUGAACGGCCUAAUUGGGACUGAGACCAGGCCCAGACUCCUACGGUAGGCAGCAGUGGGGAAUCUUCCGCAAUGGACGAAAGUCUGACGGAGCAACGCCGCGUGAGUGAUGACGGCCUUCGGGUUGUAAAGCUCUGUUAAUCGGGACGCGGUACCGGAAUAGAAAGCCACGGCUAACUACGUGCCAGCAGCCGCGGUAAUUC